GACGAACGCUGGCGGCGUGCUUAACACAUGCAAGUCGAACGGGAUAAUUUGAGAGCUUGCUCUUAGGGAAUCUAGUGGCAAACGGGUGAGUAACACGUAGACAACCUGCCGACAGGAUGGGGACAACAUUCCGAAAGGAAUGCUGAUACCGAAUGAAGCGGAGGAGAGGCAUCUCUCCUCCGUGAAAGAUGGCCUCUGAAUAUGCUAUCACCUGUCGAUGGGUCUGCGUCUGAUUAGCUAGUUGGUGAGGUAACGGCUCACCAAGGCGACGAUCAGUAGCCGGUCUGAGAGGAUGAACGGCCACAUUGGGACUGAGACACGGCCCAGACUCCUACGGGAGGCAGCAGUGGGGAAUCUUCCGCAAUGGGCGCAAGCCUGACGGAGCAACGCCGCGUGAGUGAAGAAGGUCUUCGGAUCGUAAAGCUCUGUUGACGGGGACGAACGUGCGAAGGGUGAAUAAUCCUUUGUAAUGACGGUACCUGUCGAGGAAGCCACGGCUAACUACGUG
rnacentral:rRNA from 1 species